rnacentral:lncRNA from 1 species
UCUAAAUAGGACUGAUCUAAAUCAAAGAUACAGGAAAAUCUUCCAUAAUCUUCCUGUCUAAACCAAGGAAAUUUGGAGAAAUAAAAGUUACAUCAAAAGCUCCAUCACUCUUUCCUCUAGAAAUUUGUUCUUAUAUCAAAGAUAAACAACCCCUCUUAAUGUUUGUGCAAAACUCUGAACUCUGCUAUCAAAAUUUUCAUAUUGAUUAAUAGGCAUCUUUUCCGACAUGCAGAAAGGGAAGCUGUAUGGAAAUUAGAAGAAUGUUAUAUACCACAAGUCUUCCAGAUCAGUCUUCUUUUAACUGUCAUUUUAAAUGGACAGUAAGAUGACAAAGCAGGGAAAAAGAGCAAUAAUCCCAACUGGCAGUCCAAAAAUAACCAGAUUGGAGGGUGGAAGGAAAAGAAGGAAAAGGGAAGCUAAAAAUGAAGAGAACAGUCGAUCAUCAAAUAUUGAAACUGACAUCUGA